CAUAUGCUUGUCUCAAAGAUUAAGCCAUGCAUGUCUAAGUUCACACUGUUUCACGGUGAAACCGCGAAUGGCUCAUUAAAUCAGUCGAGGUUCCUUAGAUGACACGAUCCUACUUGGAUAACUGUGGCAAUUCUAGAGCUAAUACAUGCCUCUGAAGCUCCGACCCUCGUGGAAAGAGCGCUUUUAUUAGUUCAAAACCAAUCGCCGUUCGUCUUCGGGCGGGCGGUGUCCCCAUUGGUGACUCUGGAUAACUUUGUGCUGAUCGCAUGGCCUUCGUGCCGGCGACGCAUCUUUCAAAUGUCUGCCCUAUCAAAUGUCGAUGGUACGUGAUAUGCCUACCAUGUUUGUAACGGGUAACGGGGAAUCAGGGUUCGAUUCCGGAGAGGGAGCAUGAGAAACGGCUACCACAUCCAAGGAAGGCAGCAGGCGCGCAACUUACCCACUCCCGGCACGGGGAGGUAGUGACGAAAAAUAACAAUACGGACUCUCUACGAGGCUCCGUAAUUGGAAUGAGUACACUUUAAACCCUUUAACGAGGAUCUAUUGGAGGGCAAGUCUGGUGCCAGCAGCCGCGGUAAUUCCAGCUCCAAUAGCGUAUAUUAAAGUUGUUGCAGUUAAAAAGCUCGUAGUUGGAUCUCAGGUGCAGGCGGACGGUCCGGCUCGCGCCGGUUCACUGUCCGUAUUUCCUGCCCUACUGGUCUGCCGGCUCUCUCCCGUGGGUGCUCUUCGCUGAGCGUCCCGGGUGGCCGGCGCGUUUACUUUGAAAAAAUUAGAGUGUUCAAAGCAGGCCUCGGCUGCCUGAAUAAUGGUGCAUGGAAUAAUGGAAUAGGACCUCGGUUCUAUUUUGUUGGUUUUCGGAACUGGAGGUAAUGAUUAAAAGGGACAAACGGGGGCAUUCGUAUUGCGGCGUUAGAGGUGAAAUUCUUGGAUCGCCGCAAGACGAGCUACUGCGAAAGCAUUUGUCAAGAAUGUUUUCAUUAAUCAAGAACGAAAGUCA
rnacentral:rRNA from 1 species